UUUUACAGAUUCUAUUCUAU
rnacentral:snRNA from 1 species